AACGAACGCUGGCGGCAUGCCUAACACAUGCAAGUCGAACGAGACCUUCGGGUUUAGUGGCGCACGGGUGCGUAACGCGUGGGAACCUGCCCUUAGGUUCGGAAUAACUCCCCGAAAGGGGUGCUAAUACCGGAUAAUGUCUUCGGACCAAAGAUUUAUCGCCUCUGGAUGGGCGCGCGUUGGUUUAGCUAGUUGGUAGGGUAAAAGCCUAUCAAGGCGACGAUCCAUAGCUGGUCUGAGAGGAUGAUCAGCCACACUGGGACUGAGACACGGCCCAGACUCCUACGGGAGGCAGCAGUGGGGAAUAUUGGACAAGGGGCGAAAGCGUGGUCCAGCAAUGCCGCGGGAGUGGUGAAGGCCUUAGGGUUGUACAGCUCUUUUACCCGAAAUGAUAAUGACGGUACCGGGAGAAUAAGCUCCGGCUAACUCCGUG
rnacentral:rRNA from 1 species